rnacentral:rRNA from 1 species
UACAGAGGUCUCGAGCGUUGUUCGGAUUCAUUGGGCGUAAAGGGUGCGUAGGUGGCGCUGUAAGUCGGGUGUGAAAUCCUGGGGCUUAACCCCGGAACUGCAUUCGAUACUGCAGUGCUUGAGGACUGGAGAGGAGACUGGAAUUCAUGGUGUAGCAGUGAAAUGCGUAGAGAUCAUGAGGAAGACCAGUGGCGAAGGCGGGUCUCUGGGCCGAUAUUGACGCUGAGGAGCGAAAGCGUGGGGAGCAAACAGG